UGAAAAACGGUGAAGGAAAGAAUGAUAUGUAGAUUUAUAGAGAGCUUAUGUUGGUGGAAAUUAAGUAAUCAAAGUAUUUGGAAUGGCUCUGGAGUUGUUUAAUCGAAUAUUUAGAUUAAAACGUUAGUUUCGUUAUAACUAUGAGUGUAUAAUUUUAUAAUUAUAAAAUAAGGUGGUACCACGGAUUAAUAAUUCGUCCUUAUA
rnacentral:ncRNA from 1 species